ACUCAAAUGAAUUGACGGGGGCCCGCACAAGCGGUGGAGCAUGUGGUUUAAUUCGACGCAACGCGAAGAACCUUACCAGGCCUUGACAUCUAUAUGUAAGACCAAGAGAUUGGUCCCCUCUUCGGAGCGUAUAGACAGGUGGUGCAUGGUUGUCGUCAGCUCGUGUCGUGAGAUGUUGGGUUAAGUCCCGCAACGAGCGCAACCCUUGUUGUUAGUUGCCAGCACGAAAGGUGGGCACUCUAAUGAGACUGCCGGUGACAAACCGGAGGAAGGUGGGGACGACGUCAAAUCAUCAUGCCCUUUAUGGCCUGGGCUACACACGUGCUACAAUGGCCUGUACAGAGGGAAGCGAAGGAGUGAUCUGAAGCAAAUCCCAAAAAGCAGGUCCCAGUUCGGAUUGCAGGCUGCAACUCGCCUGUAUGAAGUAGGAAUCGCUAGUAAUCGCAGAUCAGAAUGCUGCGGUGAAUACGUUCCCGGGCCUUGUACACACCGCCCGU
rnacentral:rRNA from 1 species